rnacentral:rRNA from 1 species
AUUGAACGCUGGCGGCAGGCCUAACACAUGCAAGUCGAACGAGUGGCGGACGGGUGAGUAAUGUAUCGGAACCUGCCCGGUGGAGGGGGAUAACUACUGGAAAGGGUGGCUAAUACCGCAUACCAUCGGAUGUGCCCAGAUGGGAUUAGCUAGUGGGUGGGGUAAAGGCUCACCAAGGCGACGAUCCGUAGCUGGUAUGAGAGGAUGACCAGCCACACUGGAACUGAGACACGGUCCAGACUCCUACGGGAGGCAGCAGUGGGGAAUAUUGGACAAUGGGGGAAAGCCUGAUGCAGCCAUGCCGCGUGUAUGAAGAAGGCCUUCGGGUUGUAAAGUACUUUUAGCGGGGAGGCGGUAUCUGCAGAAUAAGCACCGGCUAACUCCGUGCCAGCAGCCGCGGUAAUUC